GCGGGUAUGGUUUAGUGGUAAAAUUCCUCCUUGCCAAGGAGAAGAUGCGAGUUCGAUUCUCGCUACCCGCC
rnacentral:tRNA from 1 species